rfam:Clostridium sp. CAG:221 genomic scaffold, scf134
AGUAAAAUACAAUCGAAUGUUCGUAUAAUACCGGAAAUAUGGUCCGGAAGUUUCUACCAAAUCACCAUAAAUGAUUUGACUACGAUAUGGAUUUAAUAUUUA